GAUUGAACGCUGGCGGCAUGCCUUACACAUGCAAGUCGAACGGCAGCACGGGUGCUUGCACCUGGUGGCGAGUGGCGAACGGGUGAGUAAUACAUCGGAACAUGUCCUGUAGUGGGGGAUAGCCCGGCGAAAGCCGGAUUAAUACCGCAUACGAUCUACGGAUGAAAGCGGGGGACCUUCGAGCCUCGCGCUAUAGGGUUGGCCGAUGGCUGAUUAGCUAGUUGGUGGGGUAAAGGCCUACCAAGGCGACGAUCAGUAGCUGGUCUGAGAGGACGACCAGCCACACUGGGACUGAGACACGGCCCAGACUCCUAGGGGAGGCAGCAGUGGGGAAUUUUGGACAAUGGGCGAAAGCCUGAUCCAGCAAUGCCGCGUGUGUGAAGAAGGCCUUCGGGUUGUAAAGCACUUUUGUCCGGAAAGAAAUCCUUGGCUCUAAUACAGUCGGGGGAUGACGGUACCGGAAGAAUAAGCACCGGCUAACUACGUGCCAGCAGCCGCGGUAAUACGUAGGGUGCGAGCGUUAAUCGGAAUUACUGGGCGUAAAGCGUGCGCAGGCGGUUUGCUAAGACCGAUGUGAAAUCCCCGGGCUCAACCUGGGAACUGCAUUGGUGACUGGCAGGCUAGAGUAUGGCAGAGGGGGGGUAGAAUUCCACGUGUAGCAGUGAAAUGCGUAGAGAUGUGGAGGAAUACCGAUGGCGAAGGCAGCCCCCUGGGCCAAUACUGACGCUCAUGCACGAAAGCGUGGGGAGCAAACAGGAUUAGAUACCCUGGUAGUCCACGCCCUAAACGAUGUCAACUAGUUGUUGGGGAUUCAUUUCCUUAGUAACGUAGCUAACGCGUGAAGUUGACCGCCUGGGGAGUACGGUCGCAAGAUUAAAACUCAAAGGAAUUGACGGGGACCCGCACAAGCGGUGGAUGAUGUGGAUUAAUUCGAUGCAACGCGAAAAACCUUACCUACCCUUGACAUGGUCGGAAUCCUGCUGAGAGGUGGGAGUGCUCGAAAGAGAACCGGCGCACAGGUGCUGCAUGGCUGUCGUCAGCUCGUGUCGUGAGAUGUUGGGUUAAGUCCCGCAACGAGCGCAACCCUUGUCCUUAGUUGCUACGCAAGAGCACUCUAAGGAGACUGCCGGUGACAAACCGGAGGAAGGUGGGGAUGACGUCAAGUCCUCAUGGCCCUUAUGGGUAGGGCUUCACACGUCAUACAAUGGUCGGAACAGAGGGUUGCCAACCCGCGAGGGGGAGCUAAUCCCAGAAAACCGAUCGUAGUCCGGAUUGCACUCUGCAACUCGAGUGCAUGAAGCUGGAAUCGCUAGUAAUCGCGGAUCAGCAUGCCGCGGUGAAUACGUUCCCGGGUCUUGCACUCACCGCC
rnacentral:rRNA from 1 species